AGCAUCAUAUCGCGGGAGAAGAUCGACCAGGCAGCGGUGUGGCUCGGCUCCGCCGUCUCUUCCGCUUUCUUUUCCUCAUUGGAACGCUUUUCCUGCGUCAACGUCGCCACCUCUGACCCCGACAACGACGAUGACGACGACGAUUAUUACUCCACCACCACCGCCACUCCCACCUCCGCAUCCACCACCACCACCACCGCCCUCGCCACCACUCCUCCCUCCGUUCAGGUCAACGGGGAAAAAACAAACGACGACGUCUCCAACCUCCCCGUUUGAGGCAAUAUAAC
rnacentral:lncRNA from 1 species